rnacentral:rRNA from 1 species
AGUGAACGCUGGCGGUAGGCCUAACACAUGCCAGUCGAACGGCAGCACAGUAAGAGCUUGCUCUUACGGGUGGCGAGUGGCGGACGGGUGAGGAAUACAUCGGAAUCUACUUUUUCGUGGGGGAUAACGUAGGGAAACUUACGCUAAUACCGCAUACGACCUACGGGUGAAAGCAGGGGAUCUUUGGACCUUGCGCGAUUGAAUGAGCCGAUGUCGGAUUAGCUAGUUGGCGGGGUAAAGGCCCACCAAGGCGACGAUCCGUAGCUUGUCUGAGAGGAUGAUCAGCCACACUGGAACUGAGACACGGUCCAGACUCCUACGGGAGGCAGCAGUGGGGAAUAUUGGACAAUGGGCGCAAGCCUGAUCCAGCCAUACCGCGUGGGUGAAGAAGGCCUUCGGGUUGUAAAGCCCUUUUGUUGGGAAAGAAAAGCAGCAGGUUAAUACCCCGCUGUUCUGACGGUACCCAAAGAAUAAGCACCGGCUAACUUCGUG